UCCCGUGUUGCUCGCUUGGUAGAGCAUGGCACUUGCAAUGCCAGGGUUGUGGGUUCAAUUCCCCUGGGGGAC
rfam:Salmo salar isolate Sally breed double haploid chromosome ssa16, whole genome shotgun sequence.